UACGGGGGGAGCAAGCGUUGUUCGGAUUUACUGGCGUAAAGGGCGCGUAGGCGGCCUCUGCAAGUCGACUGUGAAAUCUCCGGGCUUAACCCGGAAAGGUCAGCCGAUACUGCAGGGCUAGAGUGCAGAAGGGGCAACUGGAAUUCUCGGUGUAGCGGUGAAAUGCGUAGAUAUCGAGAGGAACACCAGUGGCGAAGGCGGUUGCCUGGAGCUUGCUGACGCUGAGGCGCGAAAGCGUGGGGAGCGAUCCGG
rnacentral:rRNA from 1 species